UAGAGCCGACGUAUCUGGCUUGUAUUCAGCUGCUGUUGAAUGCCAGGCGCGUCGUUCCAAACCCGAUCUCUGGUUGGACGGCGCGUUGCUAGGGCGUUUAUUCAGUAGUGCAUUUGCAAGUGGAGUGCGCUGAGGCUUGUGGACUAGCGGCUGGAGCUUCGUCUUGAGGACACACUUCGGUGUGAACCCCGGACGUUGGGAAGGCCGUCUGCUCUGCAUGUGCAAGAGUGCGGUUGGAGUUGGUCGGUGCUGAUGCGUCGACUGGUAUCGGUCGCAUGCGACACGUGCUAGUCUGCCGUUUCGGUGCCGGCUGGUUCUUCGUACUUGCUCUCGGUGUAAAAGUUGGUCAUCUAUCCGACCCGUCUUGAAACACGGACCAAGGAGUUUAGCGUAUACGCGAGUCAUUGAGUGUAAAACUCAUAGGCGUAAUGAAAGUGAAUUAUUGAAUAUGCGAUCGUGUGCGCUUCGGUGUGCAUGAGCAGCAUAACCCCGUCCCGAUCGCUUGCGAUGGGGCGGAGGUAGAGCGUACUCGCUGAGACCCGAAAGAUGGUGAACUAUUCCUGAGCAGGAUGAAGCCAGAGGAAACUCUGGUGGAAGUCCGAAGCGGUUCUGA
rnacentral:rRNA from 1 species